GACAUGUGGUCAGUAGCGAACCGAAAGGGGAGCGACCCGUCAAAUCGGGCAAUCACACAGGUGCUGCAUGGCUGUCGUCAGCUCGUGCCGUGAGGUGUUGGGUUCAGUCCCGCAACGAGCGCAACCCUCGCCCUUUGUUGCCAUCGGGUAAAGCCGGGCACUCUAAGGGGACUGCCAGCGACAAGUUGGAGGAAGGAGAGGAUGACGUCAAGUCAUCAUGGCCUUUAUGCCUAGGGCCACACACGUGCAACAAUGGCCGGUACAGACGGAGGCAAUGCCGAGAGGCGGAGCAAACCCGAGAAAACCGGUCCCAGUUCGGAUUGAGGUCUGCAACUCGACCUCAUGAAGUCGGAAUCGCUAGUAAUCGCGGAUCAGCAUGUCGCGGUGAAUACGUUCCCGGGUCUUGUACACACCGCCCGUCACACCAUGGGAGUGGAAUCUGGCAGAAGUAGGUAGCCUAACCGCAAGGAGGGCGCUUACCACGCUGGGUUUCAUGACUGGGGUGAAGUCGUAACAAGGUAACCGUA
rnacentral:rRNA from 1 species